rnacentral:rRNA from 1 species
GACGAACGCUGGCGGCGUGCCUAAUACAUGCAAGUAGAACGCACAGUUUAUACCGUAGCUUGCUACACCAUAGACUGUGAGUUGCGAACGGGUGAGUAACGCGUAGGUAACCUGCCUGGUAGCGGGGGAUAACUAUUGGAAACGAUAGCUAAUACCGCAUAAUAUUAAUUAUUGCAUGAUAAUUAAUUGAAAGGUGCAAUUGCGCCACUACCAGAUGGACCUGCGUUGUAUUAGCUAGUAGGUGAGGUAACGGCUCACCUAGGCGACGAUACAUAGCCGACCUGAGAGGGUGAUCGGCCACACUGGGACUGAGACACGGCCCAGACUCCUACGGGAGGCAGUAGUAGGGAAUCUUCGGCAAUGGACGAAAGUCUGACCGAGCAACGCCGCGUGAGUGAAGAAGGUUUUCGGAUCGUAAAGCUCUGUUGUAAGAGAAGAACGGGUGUGAGAGUGGAAAGUUCACACUGUGACGGUAUCUUACCAGAAAGGGACGGCUAACUACGUG